UAGAGGAAGUAAAAGUCGUAACAAGGUUUCCGUAGGUGAACCUGCGGAAGGAUCAUUAUUGAAGUAAAUCUGAUAAGUUGCUGCUGGUUCUUUAGGGAGCAUGUGCACGCUUGUCAUCUUUAUAUCUCCACCUGUGCACCUUUUGUAGACCUGGAUAUCUUUCUAAGUGCUAGUCACUCAGGUUUGGGGACUGACUUUAUGUCUUUCCUUACAUUUCCAGGCCUAUGUUCCUACAUAUACCCAAAUGUAUGUUAUAGAAUGUAAUCAAAUGGCUUUUAUGCCUAUAAACCUAUACAACUUUCAGCAACGGAUCUCUUGGCUCUCGCAUCGAUGAAGAACGCAGCGAAAUGCGAUAAGUAAUGUGAAUUGCAGAAUUCAGUGAAUCAUCGAAUCUUUGAACGCACCUUGCGCUCCUUGGUAUUCCGAGGAGCAUGCCUGUUUGAGUGUCAUUAAUAUAUCAACCUCUUCAGCUUUUGGCUUGUUGAGUGUUGGAUGUGGGUGUGCUGGUCUUUUAAGGUCAGCUCCCCUGAAAUAUAUUAGCGGAACAAUUGUGACUGUUCAUUGGUGUGAUAACUAUCUACACUACUGAGCUGAAACAGUUCAGCUUCUAACAAUCCAUUUACUUGGAUAGAUUUUCAUUAAUGUGACCUCAAAUCAGGUAGGACUACCCGCUGAACUUAAGCAUAUCAAU
rnacentral:rRNA from 1 species